GGAUAGUGGAUAUACUUAACCUUGAAUAUCACUGAGGAAUGGAUGAUCAACAAUGGGAUACCUGCAAGAAUGAAGAAGAGGCAAAGGAAAGAAGCUGCAAAACCAAGUUCCCGUUGGCUCCCAGACCUCUAGGAAUUUGGGGGCAGCUAACCACUUCUGCAUCACCUAGUGGCAGCUCAAGAUCUAGACUUCUGCGUGGCUCCCAC